GAUGAACGCUGGCGGCGUGCCUAAUACAUGCAAGUCGAGCGAACAGACGAGGAGCUUGCUUCUCUGACGUUAGCGGCGGACGGGUGAGUAACACGUGGAUAACCUACCUAUAAGACUGGGAUAACUUCGGGAAACCGGAGCUAAUACCAGAUAAUAUAUUGAACCGCAUGGUUCAAUAGUGAAAGACGGUUUUGCUGUCACUUAUAGAUGGAUCCGCGCCGCAUUAGCUAGUUGGUAAGGUAACGGCUUACCAAGGCAACGAUGCGUAGCCGACCUGAGAGGGUGAUCGGCCACACUGGAACUGAGACACGGUCCAGACUCCUACGGGAGGCAGCAGUAGGGAAUCUUCCGCAAUGGGCGAAAGCCUGACGGAGCAACGCCGCGUGAGUGAUGAAGGUCUUCGGAUCGUAAAACUCUGUUAUUAGGGAAGAACAAAUGUGUAAGUAACUAUGCACGUCUUGACGGUACCUAAUCAGAAAGCCACGGCUAACUACGUG
rnacentral:rRNA from 1 species